rnacentral:misc_RNA from 1 species
AAGUCGUAACAAGGUUUCCGUAGGUGAACCUGCGGAAGGAUCAUUAACACUUUUUUUGAAAGCAUCCAAUAUCAACAAAUCACAACCAAACGGUCAACUAUCUCCUCCCUAUUUCGCACACCGGAGACGGUACGAGUAGGCUAACAUGUAAAUAACAAGCUCAAGCUCAAGCAAUUGCGCAUGCGCAUGUUAUUUUCAAACAUAAGAUAACCCCUUUUAAUUAUAUUAUUCAUUUAAUAUAAACGAACAACUCUUCGAAUUUGCCCUUCAUUUUCACAAUGAAGAACAAAAACGAACUAAACUAAAAUAUACAUUCGAUAUAUUUUUAUUUUACGAAAUAAUAUUAUAUUUAUAAGAACAACUCUUAGCAAUGGAUAUCUUGGUUCUC